GGAGGUCCGAACCCACGAGCGUUGAAAAGCUCGGGGAUGACUUGUGGGUAGCGGUGAAAUUCCAAUCGAGCCCGGAGAUAGCUGGUUCUCCCCGAAAUAGCUUUAGGGCUAGCCUCAAGGUGAGAGAUACGGAGGUAGAGCACUGAAUGUCCUAGGGGGUAUUGCACCUACCGAAGACUAUCAAACUCCGAAUGCCGUCAUCUUAUACUUGGGAGUCAGACUGUGGGUGAUAAGAUUCAUAGUCGAAAGGGCAACAGCCCAGAUCGUCAGCUAAGGUCCCUAAAUGUAAGUUAAGUGGUAAAGGAUGUGGGAUUGCACAGACAACCAGGAUGUUGGCUUAGAAGCAGCCACUCAUUCAAAGAGUGCGUAAUAGCUCACUGGUCGAGUGAUCCUGCGCCGAAGAUUUCCGGGGCUAAAACUUACUACCGAAGCUACGGCAUCAGUAAUGAUGGGUAGGGGAGCUUCCCAUACGGGUUGAAGCAUGACCGUAAGGACAUGUGGACAGUAUGGGAGUGAGAAUGUUGGCAUGAGUAGCGAGAUGUGGGUGAGAAUCCCACAGGCCGUAAACCCAAGGUUUCCAGGGGAAGGUUCGUCCGCCCUGGGUUAGUCGGGACCUAAGCUGAGGCCGAAAGGCGUAGGUGAGGGACAACAGGUUGAUAUUCCUGUACUACCGAUAACCGUUUGAGAGAAGGGAUGACACAGUAGGAUAAGCUAAGCACACUGUUGGUUAUGUGUGCCCAAGCAUUGAGGCAGUCAAAGUAGGCAAAUCCGCUUUGAUAAUGCUGGGAUGUGAUGGGGAGCGAAAUUUAGUAGCGAAGUAGCUGAUUUCACACUGUCAAGAAAAGUCUCUAUCGAGGUUAAAGGUACCCGUACCGCAAACCGACACAGGUGGGUGAGGAGAGUAUCCUAAGGCCAGCGAGAGAACUGUUGUUAAGGAACUCGGCAAAAUGACCCCGUAACUUAGGGAUAAGGGGUGCCACCAUC
rnacentral:rRNA from 1 species